rnacentral:lncRNA from 1 species
AAUAGCAUAAUGACCAAUUUGUCUGCAACGAAAACAACAAAGUCAUCUUACUGUACCCCCAUCAGGCAUAUUGGGUGUUUCCACUGAUAUAUACCUCGUAAGCUUGUUCCAUGUAGGAUUAGAAAAUGAUCCUGGUCGUUCUGUUGGUACAAAGGGUACUUGGUUCGAUGAUGUCGGUGGAGCAUACACUAGUGUCACAUUCGAUGGUAUAGAUUGCAAUGGAGUGAUAUUAACUGGCCCCUGAAUAUUGGCACUGGUAUUGGCCACUGCUUCUAACAUCUAAGCUAAUUAAAUA